rnacentral:rRNA from 1 species
CGAACGCUGGCGGCGUGGAUUAGGCAUGCAAGUCGAGCGCGAACGUCUUCUUCGGAAGGCAAGUAGAGCGGCGAACUGGUGAGUACAAGACGGGUGACGUGCCCGGACGUGGGGGACAACCUCGAGAAAUUGGGGCUAAUACCGCAUGUUCUCCGUCACUUAGACGCGACGGAACAAAGGCGCACUUCGGUGCGCCGCGUCCGGAUCGGCCCGUCUCCCAUUAGCUAGUUGGUGGGGUAAUGGCCUACCAAGGCGACGAUGGGUAGCUGGCCCGAGAGGGUGGUCAGCCACACUGGGACUGAGAUACGGCCCAGACUCCUACGGGGGGCAGCAGUCUAGAGGCAUCUACAAUGGACGAAAGUCAGAUAGUGCGACGCCGCGUGUGGGAUGACGGCCCUUGGGUUGUAAACCACUGUCAGGAGGGAAUAAAGUCCCGUUGGUAAUGCUGCGGGGCCUGAAGGUACCUCCAGAGGAAGCACCGGCUAACUCC